rnacentral:rRNA from 1 species
UACGUAGGGCGCAAGCGUUGUCCGGACUUAUUGGGCGUAAAGAGCUCGUAGGCGGCUUGUCACGUCGGGUGUGAAAGCCCGGGGCUUAACCCCGGGUCUGCAUUCGAUACGGGCUAGCUAGAGUGUGGUAGGGGAGAUCGGAAUUCCUGGUGUAGCGGUGAAAUGCGCAGAUAUCAGGAGGAACACCGGUGGCGAAGGCGGAUCUCUGGGCCAUUACUGACGCUGAGGAGCGAAAGCGUGGGGAGCGAACAGG